AUGCAAUUGACUUCCGGGGGUACCUGGUGCGGCUGAUUCAUUUGUUUUCCCCUGUUUGUCGACAUGACACUGCUUACGACAUACAUCACACGAGAUUAAAGGUUAUGCAGAUACUGGCUCCAUUACACUUGAGACAGAUAGUGGCACCAUUGUUCAUUAAUUGACCAAUUUUAAGGGGGACGGUGUAGAAGUACCCCUUCUGAAUCAGCUGUAUCCUAGCUAUCAUGAUCAAACUCCUUUAGCCUCUUAUUGUUGCAUUUUUGAUACCUGAACAAUGAGUGGGAGCAAGAUUAUAGAUUUCCACUACCAGUUCCGCAGCAAGGACCUGACCUCAACUUUAACAGUACCUGUCACCAUCCCGAACCCCCAGCCCGCCUCCGACCUCGUGGGUCGGCUGGUCAACGCCCACAACCUACCAUGCUACGUAGAGGAAGAUUUAAAGAACAAGCUCGAGAAAUUUAUGACAGAGGAAACCAACAAACUGUUUGAUGAAAAUUCGCAGAAAGCUCUCCAGAGGUUGAAAAAUGGAGACAUUAAUAUAGAUGAUGUUGUCACGAAAUGGCACAACGCCUUUAGUGAGGAAGUCAAGCGUUAUGCCAAGCCAGAGAGUGUGACGGAACAGCAGGUGUUCUCCGAGGUGUAUCACAGUCUGAUCCACUCACCCGCCCUCGACACGCUCCUCAACCUUGAGCACACAUAUGCCCUUACAAUCGAGGACCUGAUACAGCAGAGGGACAAAGACCUUGAAUACCUAGAUGACAGACAAAGAGAGGAGAUGGAGGAUGCAAUGAAGAAUGCUGGGACCAAGUACACAGAUGCCCAGGUGAACCAGCUGGCCCAGCGGCACAUUGACAACUCACAGUUGAUAAGUGGAAAGUGGAGUAGUGAGUUGUCCAACCUGAGAGAUACACAGAAACGUGAGUUUAGGGAGUGGGUGCUGAAAGUCCAUGAAGACACGCAGUCUCCAUCCAAAUCCACUAGCUAUCUAAACCGAGUGAGAGCCCUCAGCAGUAGUCUACCGGAGGCAGAAGAGAAUGAAAGGGGACCUAACACCAUUAGGAUGGAGGAGAGCUUCACUAUACACCUUGGUGCCCAGAUGAAAACUACACACAAUCUUCGUUUACUCUGUACAGAUAUCCUAGACCUAUGUCGGCACAAAACCCACACAGUAGGUGGAAUGGUCAUUCCUCAACCUCAGAGACUGCAGACCGCCAUGUCCCUCUACUCCAAUGACCUUUGUGCACUGAUCAUGAUGGUUGAUAACCGAUUGAACUCGUACACAGGGCUUAAACGAGGUUCAAUAAUUCAUACAUACACGCAUCAGCCCUUAUAGCAGAUAUUGAUCUAGUCAUUAAAUGUAGUACAGACUAUCUCGGCCAAAUGACCUUUACUUGAGAGUUAUCGUUAUCUUUCAAACUAAAGUAUUGUUAAUGAAUCAUGCAUGGAAUCUGUAGAAAUGAAAAUCUUGGUAAAAAUUCUUCUGCAAUUCAUUAAAACUUUCAGAGGAAUGUUUGUUUUUGACAAAAAUGAUUUUCCAUUGAAAAAAUUCUGGAAUGGGACACCUCAAUAUUGUGACAUACCGUUACUUCCUAUGGAAAUAAUCAAUAAAAUCAAAUAUAAAUUUUAUUUUUUUCUUUGCCAAACUCAUUACCUAACAGCUUAUUGUAAUGGGUUAGAGCAUUAACUGUGAAUCUGUAAGUCAUGAGUUAGAAUCCCGUGGGGGUUUUUAUAAUUUUUACCUUUCCAAAAAAAUUUAAAACAUAGUUUUUGGUCAAAUAUAAUAUAAUUGUAAAUUUUGAAAAUUCUAAACUGAUGAAAGUAUUGGAUUAUGAUAUAUAGGUUUAUCUAAAUUAAUAUUGACAGGUGUCCUAAUCCAUCUUAAGAUUGAAAAACUUGACUGUUUUUAACAGGUAAUAUGUGUACAUGAUAAGAAAGAUAACCCUAAAUUUUUAACAGAUUUCUCCAAAGUUUGUGAACAGUCAACUGACUUCCACUUUCCUGAUCUUGAGCAACAGUUUGCAAUCAUAGAACAGGAACUGGCUCUGGCCAAUGAACACCGCCAGCAACACAAACACUCGGAGGAUGCAGACAAAGUCAGCCUCAAAAGCAGCAGCAGUACAUCUAGUGAGGAGAAAAAUAAAAAUCUAAGGUCAGGAGAUUUCUACUUGACAAAACAUUCCAAUCUGUCGGAGGUCCAUGUUGUGUUUCAUUUGGUAGCAGAUGACAGCAUCAAACAGUCGGACAUUUCCUCUCGCCAUCCAGUUAUACUGAGCAUCAGAAACAUCAUCAAGCUGUGUUUCCGUUACGACAUCAACACCAUCACCAUCCCUCUCCUUCUCUUCAAUGAGAUGACGGAGGAGAUGACCAUCCCAUGGUGUCAGAAAAGGGUUGAACUGAUGUUUAAGUGUGUCAAGGGCUUCAUGAUGGAAAUGGCAGCCUACGGCGGAUACAAAUCCCGCACAAUUCAGUUUCUAGUUCCCCCAGGGAUUUCUGAGGACGUGUUUUCGGGCAUUAGCUCCAUGUUGACCAAUAUAUUCAGACUUUCCAACCCCCUGGUGGUCAAGUCUAGCUAGCAACGGUAUGGAUAAACGGAAAAUAUGUACUAUCCAAUUGUGUGGAUUGUCUAAUUGCAUGGACUAUCCAAAAAGUGGUCAACCAGAGAAUAUGAAAUAUUGUGUGUGUGAAUAUAAUGGGACAAGUGCAAUAGAAAGCUCUUCUUUUUUUAUAUAUCGAAAAUUGGUAAAAUACCCAAUUACUUGUAUGUGUGUUAGUUGUAUUUGAUUGAAAAAUAAAAUGUUCAUGUUGUUU
rnacentral:misc_RNA from 1 species